CACGGUAGUUAGCCGGUGCUUAUUCUUCAGGUACCGUCAUUAGCCGGAGGUAUUAUCCCCAGCCGUUUCUUCCCUGACAAAAGAGCUUUACAACCCGAAGGCCUUCUUCACUCACGCGGCAUUGCCGGAUCAGGCUUGCGCCCAUUGUCCAAAAUUCCCCACUGCUGCCUCCCGUAGGAGUCUGGGCCGUGUCUCAGUCCCAGUGUGGCUGGUCGUCCUCUCAGACCAGCUACUGAUCGUCGCCUUGGUGAGCCUUUACCUCACCAACUAGCUAAUCAGAUAUCGGCCGCUCCAGGAGCAUGAGGUCUUGCGAGCCCCCACUUUCAUCCUUAGAUCGUAUGCGGUAUUAGCGUAACUUUCGCUACGUUAUCCCCACUCUUGGGUACGUUCCGAUAUAUUACUCACCCGUUCGCCACUCGCCGCCAGGUUGCCCCGCGCUGCCGUUCGACUUGCAUGUGUAAAGCAUGCCGCCAGCGUUCAAUCUGAGCCAGGAUCAAA
rnacentral:rRNA from 1 species